CGUAGGGUGCGAGCGUUAAUCGGAAUUACUGGGCGUAAAGCGUGCGCAGGCGGUUUUGUAAGACAGAUGUGAAAUCCCCGGGCUCAACCUGGGACCUGCAUUUGUGACUGCAAGGCUAGAGUACGGUAGAGGGGGAUGGGAUUCCGCGUGUAGCAGUGAAAUGCGUAGAUAUGCGGAGGAACACCGAUGGCGAAGGCAAUCCCCUGGACCUGUACUGACGCUCAUGCACGAAAGCGUGGGGGGCAAACAGGAUUAGAUACCCUGGUAGUCCACGCCCUAAACGAUGUCAACUGGUUGUUGGGUCUUUACUGACUCAGUAACGAAGCUAACGCGUGAAGUUGACCGCCUGGGGAGUACGGCCGCAAGGUUG
rnacentral:rRNA from 1 species